rnacentral:rRNA from 1 species
GAACGAGGAUAUAUCCUUCGGGAUAUAAGCCGAGUGGCACAAGGGUGAGUAAUGCAUAGAUUACCUACCUUUAGGAUAAGGACAACUUUGUGAAAACGAAGCUAAUACUUAAUAAUACAAAAGAAAUAAUUUUCUUUUGUCAAAGGGAGGGUAGCAAUACCUUUCGCCUGGAGAGGGGUUUAUGUCCUAUCAGCUUGUUGGUGGGGUAAUGGCCUACCAAGGCGAAGACGGGUAGCCGGUUUAAGAGGAUGGUCGGCCACACUGGGACUGAGACACUGCCCAGACUUCUACGGAAGGCUGCAGUCGAGAAUCUUUCGCAAUGCCCGAAAGGGUGACGAAGCGACGCCGCGUGGGUGAGGAAGGCCUUCGGGUUGUAAAGCCCUGUCAGGAGUUAAGAAAUGUAAGUUCGUUAAUACCGUACUUAUUUGACAAAGGCUCCAAAGGAAGCCACGGCUAACUCUGUGCCAGCAGCCGCGGUAAUACAGAGGUGGCGAGCGUUGUUCGGAAUUAUUGGGCGUAAAGAGCACGUAGGUGGGUUUGCAAGUCAGAUGUGAAAGCCUUCUGUUCAACGGAAGAAUUGCAUCUGAAACUGCUAAUCUUGAGUAUAGGAGGGGAGAAUGGAACUUCUGGUGGAGCGGUGAAAUGCGUAGAUAUCAGAAGGAACGCCGGCGGCGAAAGCGAUUCUCUGGCCUAUUACUGACACUCAGUGUGCGAAAGCUAGGGGAGCAAACGGGAUUAGAUACCCCGGUAGUCCUAGCCGUAAACGAU